GAUUUAUCGAGAAAGGUGGAGGGAUUUGGCCCUGAGAAACCUUAGCAACCGACAUUUUCUGAUGAAAAGGUGCUAAUUCCAACCCGAUUGGGGGAAGAUAAGUG
rfam:Chryseobacterium gambrini strain DSM 18014 genome assembly, contig: Ga0111674_107